CAACCCAGCUUCCGGGUUCGAGAACGGAAAUCCUAGAUAUAAACCUUGCAAGGAAUGUACCAAUUGAGGAUAUCUUCUGGGUUUGACUCCUGCAAGCAACAUUGUGACACCAGGCCAAACCAACACUGAGCGCAAAAGGGAGUUUUUGCCAGAUCUCGUGUUUACAUCAGAGCUCCAGAAGUUUUGAUCUCGGAGGUGUGGCUGGGAUUUGCAGGUCAAAUGGCUGCUUCAAUACUACCGACAGACAAAAGAGUACUUCUAAUCCCAAUUGAUGACAGUGAGGUGAGUUGCUUUACCCACAUGCUUGUGAUACCCAUCGCAUGCUUUCGUUUGUCUUCUUGAAAGUACACUACUGACGCUAGCAAGACUUCUACUUAGAUGAUCGCUUGAAAAUUUGGCAAUAUGCGCAGAAGCAUUCAUUCACGGUCACGUGUGCGACGUGCAGGACGCAGAAAAAUCGGUUUCAUGGACGCUGCAGAACCUAUACAGACCAGGCAUGCAGAUGCAGGCAUCAAUACCGUACAACACAAAAAUAGCGCUUCAAAUCGUAGCC
rnacentral:lncRNA from 1 species